rnacentral:lncRNA from 10 species
AUGGUCCUACUGCUUGUUCUACUGGUGGCCCUGCUGCUUUGCCACUGUGGCCCUGUUGGAUCUCUGGGCUUUGAACUGCCUCAGAACCGUGGCCUACUUAGCAGGAACACCUUGGCACUUCUGGGCCAAAUGUGCAGAAUCUCCACUUUCUUGUGUCUCAAGGACAGAAGAGACUUCAGGUUCCCCCUGGAGAUGUGGAUGGCAGUCAUUUGCAGAAGGCCCAGGCUGUGUCUGUCCUCCAUGAGAUGCUUCAGCAGAUCUUCAGCCUCUUCCCCACAGAGCGCUCCUCUGCUGCCUGGAACAUGACCCUCCUGGACCAGCUCCACACUGGAUUUCAUCAGCAGCUCGAAUGCCUGGAGUCUUGCUUAGGGCAGGCAACAGGAGAGGAAGAAUCUGUGGGGGUGAUUGGGGCCCUAUACUGGCCUUGAGGAGGUACUUCCAGGGAAUCCAUGGGAAUCCAGAGAAUCUACCUGAAAGAGAAGAAAUACAGUGACUGUGCUUAGGAGGUUGUCAGAAUGGAAUCAUGAAAUCCUUCUCUUCAUCAACAGACUUGCAAGGACUGAGAAGUAAGGAUGAAGACCUGGGGUCUGC